rnacentral:rRNA from 1 species
GGCUACCACAUCUAAGGAAGGCAGCAGGCGCGCAAAUUACCCAAUUCUAACAGCAUAAGAGAGGUAGUGACAAGAAAUAACAAUACAAGGUAAUUAAAUUGCUUUGUAAUUGGAAUGAUAGAAAUUUAAACACUUUUUAAAGUAUCAAUUGGAGGGCAAGUCUGGUGCCAGCAGCCGCGGUAAUUCCAGCUCCAAUAGCGUAUAUUAAAAUUGUUGCAGUUAAAAAGCUCGUAGUUGAAUUUCUGUUAAAAAUAACCGGUCUGCUUUUAUUAAAAGUGGUAUCUUGGUGUGUUUUUAGCAAUAAUGUCCUUUGAAAUGUUUUUUACUUUAUUGUAAUAAGUCAUUAUUUUGAGGAUUUUUACUUUGAGAAAAUUAGAGUGUUUCUAGCAG